rnacentral:rRNA from 1 species
GAGUUUGAUCCUGGCUCAGAUUGAACGCUGGCGGCAUGCCUUACACAUGCAAGUCGAACGGCAGCACGGACUUCGGUCUGGUGGCGAGUGGCGAACGGGUGAGUAAUACAUCGGAACGUACCCUGUUGUGGGGGAUAACUAGUCGAAAGAUUAGCUAAUACCGCAUACGACCUGAGGGUGAAAGUGGGGGACCGUAAGGCCUCACGCAGCAGGAGCGGCCGAUGUCUGAUUAGCUAGUUGGUGGGGUAAAGGCCCACCAAGGCGACGAUCAGUAGCUGGUCUGAGAGGACGAUCAGCCACACUGGGACUGAGACACGGCCCAGACUCCUACGGGAGGCAGCAGUGGGGAAUUUUGGACAAUGGGGGCAACCCUGAUCCAGCAAUGCCGCGUGUGUGAAGAAGGCCUUCGGGUUGUAAAGCACUUUUGUCCGGAAAGAAAUCGCUUCGGUUAAUACCUGGGGUGGAUGACGGUACCGGAAGAAUAAGCACCGGCUAACUACGUGCCAGCAGCCGCGGUAAUACGUAGGGUGCGAGCGUUAAUCGGAAUUACUGGGCGUAAAGCGUGCGCAGGCGGUUUUGUAAGACAGGCGUGAAAUCCCCGAGCUCAACUUGGGAAUUGCGCUUGUGACUGCAAGGCUAGAGUAUG